UACGGGGGGAGCAAGCGUUGUUCGGAUUUACUGGGCGUAAAGGGCGCGUAGGCGGCGUGACAAGUCACUUGUGAAAUCUCCGGGCUUAACUCGGAACGGUCAAGUGAUACUGUCGUGCUAGAGUACAGAAGGGGCAACUGGAAUUCUCGGUGUAGCGGUGAAAUGCGUAGAUAUCGAGAGGAACACCUGCGGCGAAGGCGGGUUGCUGGGCUGAUACUGACGCUGAGGCGCGAAAGCUAGGGGGAGCGAAACAGG
rnacentral:rRNA from 1 species